rnacentral:rRNA from 1 species
CCUACGGGAGGCAGCAGUGAGGAAUAUUGGUCAAUGGACGAGAGUCUGAACCAGCCAAGUAGCGUGAAGGAUGACUGCCCUAUGGGUUGUAAACUUCUUUUAUAUGGGAAUAAAAUGUUCCACGUGUGGGAUUUUGUAUGUACCAUAUGAAUAAGGAUCGGCUAACGCCGUGCCAGCAGCCGCGGUAAUACGGAGGAUCCGAGCGUUAUCCGGAUUUAUUGGGUUUAAAGGGAGCGUAGGUGGAUUGUUAAGUCAGUUGUGAAAGUUUGCGGCUCAACCGUAAAAUUGCAGUUGAAACUGGCAGUCUUGAGUACAGUAGAGGUGGGCGGAAUGCGUGGUGUAGCGGUGAAAUGCUUAGAUAUCACGAAGAACUCCGAUUGCGAAGGCAGUUCACUGGACUGCAACUGACACUGAGGCUCGAAAGUGUGGGUAUCAAACAGGAUUAGAUACCCGUGUAGUC